rnacentral:misc_RNA from 1 species
GAUGAAGAACGUAGUGAAAUGCGAUAAGUAAUGUGAAUUGCAGAAUUCAGUGAAUCAUCGAAUCUUUGAACGCACAUUGCGCCCGGCAGUACUCUGCCGGGCAUGCCUGUUCGAGCGUCAUUUCAACCCUCAAGCCCUGCUUGGUGUUGGGGUCCCACGGCCGCCGUGGGCCCUGAAAGGAAGUGGCGGGCUCGCUACAACUCCGAGCGUAGUAAUUCAUUAUCUCGCUUAGGGCGUUGGGCGGCGCUCCUGCCGUUAAAGAACCAUCUUUAACUCAAGGUUGACCUCGGAUCAGGUAGGAAUACCCGCUGAACUUAAGCAUAUCAAUAGCGGAGGA